rnacentral:rRNA from 1 species
AAUGGGGGAAACCCUGACGCAGCGACGCCGCGUGAGCGAUGAAGGCCUUAGGGUUGUAAAGCUCUGUUUUAGGGGACGAAUGUCCAUUUCAGUAAUAUGGGAGUGGAAUGACGGUACCCUAAGAGGAAGCCCCGGCUAACUACGUGCCAGCAGCCGCGGUAAGACGUAGGGGGCGAGCGUUGUCCGGAAUUACUGGGCGUAAAGAGCACGUAGGCGGGAACUUAAGUCAGGUGUGAAAGACCGGGGCUCAACUCCGGGGUUGCACUUGAAACUGGGUUUCUUGAGGGCAGGAGAGGAAAGCAGAAUUCCUGGUGUAGCGGUGAAAUGCGUAGAAAUCAGGAGGAAUACCAGUGGCGAAGGCGGCUUUCUGGACUGACCCUGACGCUGAGGUGCGAAAGCGUGGGUAGCAAA